GCGGGGGUGGCGGAGUGGUCUAACGCGCACGCCUGGAACUGCCCUUUUCUUUCUUUUGAAAAGAAAGAAAAGUGUAAGUUGCCCAAAAGAAAGAAAUCGGGUGGCAGUUGCAUCAGUCAGCGUGUUCCUUCACAGGAGCGCGAGUUCGAAUCUCGUCCUCCGCG
rnacentral:tRNA from 1 species